rnacentral:lncRNA from 1 species
ACUAAUACCCACAGGCCAAAGUUAAUGACCAAUUGCAAAGAAAACUAAACGGUCAUUUAAAUGGAUUUUAAUUGUCUGCCUUUUUUAAAAAAAAAGAUAAAGGAAAAGGAAGUGAGAGAAAAGACACCAGACUCAAACAAUUGUUCGUCUUCCUCACAAAGACAAAUCUCCUUUCUUUCAAUCUCUCAACCUCUCUCGCCCUCAACUUCAUUCAAUCUCUCAAUCUCGACCUCAUUUAAUUUUUUCAAACUCCUCACAACUAAUCUAACCAUUUUACAAAGACCACCAACUGAUUUUCCUCCUCCUAACAGAACCUUCAAC